rnacentral:tRNA from 2 species
GGGCCCAUAGUUCAGUUGGGAGAACGUUUGACUGGCAGUCAAAAGGUCGAGAGUUCGAGCCUCUCUGGGUCCACCA